rnacentral:sRNA from 1 species
AGUUUCAACUUCGUGGACCUUAGUAACUUGGUGCGCCUUUAGCAACCUUUCAUGCCUUGUUGUUAUGAUUAUUUUACUUCCGGGAUAAAACCGAUCUUUCAUCCGUAGUACUGCAUCUAAUUGGUCCUUAUGGUCUACAUCGUCAAGAACAAGAAGAACCCUUCUAGAGCUUAUGGCUCUUACAAUCUUACUUAUUCCUUCACUGACGUUGUGCACUUUCUCCUUCUUCCCCUUCAAAAUAUCAUAAAGAAGUUGCAUUUGCAUUUGAACUAACCCGUUCGGUUGACUUGCCGUUUCUCUGAUAUUUUCAACAAAGCUGCUCCCUUCAAAACU